GAUGAAGAACGUAGCGAAAUGCGAUAAGUAGUGUGAAUUGCAGAAUUCAGUGAAUCAUCGAAUCUUUGAACGCACAUUGCGCCCCUUGGUAUUCCAUGGGGCAUGCCUGUUCGAGCGUCAUUUGUACCUUCAAGCUCUGCUUGGUGUUGGGUGUUUGUCUCGCCUCUGCGUGUAGACUCGCCUCAAAACAAUUGGCAGCCGGCGUAUUGAUUUCGGAGCGCAGUACAUCUCGCGCUUUGCACUCAUAACGACGACGUCCAAAAGUACAUUUUUACACUCUUGACCUCGGAUCAGGUAGGGAUACUCGCUGAACUUAAGCAUAUCAAUAAGCGGAGGA
rnacentral:misc_RNA from 1 species